AGCGCCCUUAACUUGGGGAGUUCUGAUAGAAUCCGUUGCAUUGGUGCUGGUAUGAUUGCUCAUGUUUAGUUCUGCGCUGCAAAUACAUACACUUUUUCUCCCUCCAUCCCCCCUCCCGUCAUUUGUUUCCUUGUGCGUGCACUCUGCAUCUCUCCUUCUCGUUCUAAUAUCGAUUAAAAUGCCCCUGCUUCUUGACUCACAUUUGCGUAUAAACCAGUGGACCCUAAUUCCAGUCGCGCUAACGUCGAACGACCCGUCUGAAAAAAAAAAUAAGUGCGACUUGAGGACUUCCUAGGAGGUCACCCAUCCGAGUACUACUCUCGCCCAAGCACACUUAACUGCGAAGUUCUGAUGGGAUCCGGUGCAUUAGUGCUGGUAUGAUCGCACCUGUUUAAUGUUGGGCUGCAAAUACAUAAAUUCCUUGCCCUUUCUUCCCCCUCCCGUCAUUUGUUUCCUUGUAGGUGCGCACUGCACCUCUCGUUCUCGUUCAAAUAUCAAGUAAAAUGCCACGGCGCCGUGAUUCACAUUUGC
rnacentral:lncRNA from 1 species